GUGGGUUUGUAAGUCGGAUGUGAAAUCCCUCGGCUCAACCGGGGAACGGCGUUGGAUACUGCGUGCCUGGAGGGCGGAAGGGGAAAGUGGAAUUCUUGGUGGAGCGGUGAAAUGCGUAGAUAUCAAGAGGAACGCCGGUGGCGAAAGCGACCCUCUGGCCCGUUUCUGACGCUGAGGCGCGAAAGCUAGGGGAGCAAACGGGAUUAGAUACCCCGGUAGUCCUGGCCCUAAACGAUGGGCACUAAGUAGAGGGG
rnacentral:rRNA from 2 species